rnacentral:rRNA from 1 species
UACAGAGGUCUCGAGCGUUAGGCGGAAUCACUGGGCUUAAAGCGUGUGUAGGCGGGUUGUUAAGUACCUUGUGAAAUCCCAUGGCUCAACCAUGGAACUGCUGGGUAUACUGGCGAUCUUGUGCAACCUAGGGGCGAGCGGAACAGAUGGUGGAGCGGUGAAAUGCGUAGAUAUCAUCUGGAACGCCAAUGGUGAAAACAGCUCGCUGGGGGUUUGCAGACGCUGAGACACGAAAGCCAGGGGAGCGAACGGG